rnacentral:rRNA from 1 species
UACGUAGGGGGCAAGCGUUGUCCGGAUUUAUUGGGCGUAAAGAGCGUGUAGGCGGCCAGACAGGUCCGCUGUGAAAACUCGAGGCUCAACCUCGAGAUGUCGGUGGAAACCGUCUGGCUAGAGUCCGGAAGAGGAGAGUGGAAUUCCCGGUGUAGCGGUGAAAUGCGCAGAUAUCGGGAAGAACACCCGUGGCGAAGGCGGCUCUCUGGGACGGUACUGACGCUGAGACGCGAAAGCGUGGGAGCGAACAGG